AUUGAACGCUGGCGGCAUGCCUUACACAUGCAAGUCGAGCGGCAGCACGGGUGCUUGCACCUGGUGGCGAGUGGCGAACGGGUGAGUAAUACAUCGGAACAUGUCCUGUAGUGGGGGAUAGCCCGGCGAAAGCCGGAUUAAUACCGCAUACGAUCUACGGAUGAAAGCGGGGGACCUUCGGGCCUCGCGCUAUAGGGUUGGCCGAUGGCUGAUUAGCUAGUUGGUGGGGUAAAGGCCUACCAAGGCGACGAUCAGUAGCUGGUCUGAGAGGACGACCAGCCACACUGGGACUGAGACACGGCCCAGACUCCUACGGGAGGCAGCAGUGGGGAAUUUUGGACAAUGGGCGAAAGCCUGAUCCAGCAAUGCCGCGUGUGUGAAGAAGGCCUUCGGGUUGUAAAGCACUUUUGUCCGGAAAGAAAUCCUUGGCUCUAAUACAGUCGGGGGAUGACGGUACCGGAAGAAUAAGCACCGGCUAACUACGUG
rnacentral:rRNA from 1 species